UGAGGGAAAGUUGCAAAGAACUUUGAAGAGAGAGUUCAAGAGUACGUGAAACUGCUCAGAGGGAAACGGGUGGGCCCUCGAAAUCCUCUUGCGGAGAGAUUCAGUCGGGAGACGGCGGGGCGGACGUCGGUAACGGACCCUCGUGAAGGACGGUUCCGGCGCCGCGGUCCCUCCGGAGCCCGACGCACUUCUCCCCGCACCGUGGACGCCGCAACCGAUCGGGUAGCAGCGAGAGUCUGCCAUGCGGCCGUUCCAGGCAGGUGGCCGGUCCCUCAGCCCCCCGGGGCGGAGAGAUCGGUUAUUCACGGGACGGCGCCGAGGCGAGACACCCGAUCGAGGUCAAUCGGUUCCCCGUGAGGGGAACACGUCGUCUCCGUCCACUCGUUGGGCGCGGGGGCCGCGCCAGUGAGCGCCGGCGCUGCCGUUUCCACUCUGCGUAGUGGCCGGCUCGUCGGUGGCCGUCGUUGGGCGCGGUCUGCAUCCGCGGUCGAGGGACGAUGCGGUUAGCGGCGAGUAGGUCGGUCACCCACCCGACCCGUCUUGAAACACGGACCAAGGAGUCUAACAUGUGCGCGAGUCGCAGGGUCUUGAACAGGCCCUCGGGCGCAAUGAAAGUGACGGCGUCCCCCUCUGCGGGGAGCCGGGUUGGGACUCCCGAUCCUGCGCGGUCGGGAAGCACCAACGACCCGUCCCUUCCGAUCCGUCGGUGGGGCGGAGUCGGAGCGUACACGUUGGGACCCGAAAGAUGGUGAACUAUGCCUGGGCAGAACGAAGCCAGAGGAAACUCUGGUGGAGGUUCGCAGCGGUUCUGACGUGCAAAUCGAUCGUCAGACCUGGG
rnacentral:rRNA from 1 species